rnacentral:rRNA from 1 species
AGAACGAACGCUGGCGGCAGGCUUAACACAUGCAAGUCGAACGGUUGUAGCAAUACAGCAGUGGCAGACGGGAGAGUAACACGUGGGAACCUUCCUAGGGGUACGGAACAACUCAGGGAAACUUGAGCUAAUACCGUAUACGUCCGUGAGGAGAAAGAUUUAUCGCCCCUAGACGGGCCCGCGUAGGAUUAGGUAGUUGGUGAGGUAACGGCUCACCAAGCCUACGAUCCUUAGCUGAUCUGAGAGGAUGAUCAGCCACACUGGGACUGAGACACGGCCCAGACUCCUACGGGAGGCAGCAGUGGGGAAUCUUGGACAAUGGGCGCAAGCCUGAUCCAGCCAUGCCGCGUGAGUGAAGAAGGCCUUCGGUUGUAAAGGCUCUUUUACCGAGGACGAUAAAUGAACGGUACCUGGAGAAGUAACGCCCCGGACAAACGUUCGUCGCCAGCACGCCGAC